rnacentral:lncRNA from 1 species
UUUUGUUUGCUGAAAGGGAAAGGGGUGCGAACGGAAGCAAGGGGGUGCAGUCCAAAAUAGCGUACUCAGCCCAAACCUCCUCUUUUGUUUACAGAAACAGAGUGGGGUGUGAAUAGAAUUUUGCGGUGGUGGGCAGAAAAACCACAGCCCAAGCCCAAAGCCUUUUCCAUUUUUUUUUAUUUGCAGAAUAGAAGUGGGGGUGUGAAACGUGAAUGAGGGGUGCAGGGAAGAACAGACAGUCCAUCAGCCAGGCCCAAAGCCACUUAAACCUAAACAGAAAUUAGGGGUGCAGAGAUUACUCUCAUUCUACCAUCUAUGCCGCCAGAGACCUUGGGUCUCCUCCUCCAUCGAUCACGAUCACGACCAGUCUCCACCCAACCGGCCACCACCAUCCGGCGACGUUGUCAGCGAUCGAUGCUCGUCGCCGGAGCUACCAAGUCGUCGUCGGCCAUGGCAGCAGGUCUAAAGCCCCUCUUCUCUCACGGCGUCGAGGCUGGGCGUGGCCGUCUCCGUUGCCGCCCUUCACGAGACCAAACGCCACAAACCGCACCUAUCACAGCAGUUGAGAACGCCUUUCUCCUCCACUCCGAGAUCCCACCGUCGAUAACGCACCGUUAACUCCGGUGUUUGACUCCGCUUCGCCGUCGUCAGCCUCGGAGGCUGUUAUCUUCUCGCCCAUUCCCCUCGAACGGAACUCAUCUCCUUGCCUAUUUACUAUCUUGACUCU